AAGUAUUUUGACAUGUCAGGAUAACUUUAUUAUUCAGAAACUUAGGGCAGCAAUCAAUUAUGGAGUAGGAUAUGAACGCAAUAUUUCAAGAGCAGAAGGAUUGAGGAUUAAGUCUGAUAUGGAGCGUUCCUGGAAGUACAGAAGCCCUCCACUCAAAUGUCAUUAAUGGACAGUUCAAGCUUUGUCACAAAAAUCUUAGGAAAGCCUGUUACAACUCUGGGUUGGUGCAGGAGUGCAAUGACUGUGCAGAGGUCCAUAGUCAGGAAGAACUGGAGGAGUGAAAGGAAAGACAUGAGUAUCGCAUGAUGAAGAUUGCAAAGGCCAAGGGAUGUAGGGUUAUAGGGGUCUACAUCUCUCUGGAAGAGCUUGCAGAGUAAA